GAUGAACGCUGGCGGCGUGCCUAAUACAUGCAAGUCGAGCGAAUGGAUUAAGAGCUUGCUCUUAUGAAGUUAGCGGCGGACGGGUGAGUAACACGUGGGUAACCUGCCCAUAAGACUGGGAUAACUCCGGGAAACCGGGGCUAAUACCGGAUAACAUUUUGAACCGCAUGGUUCGAAAUUGAAAGGCGGCUUCGGCUGUCACUUAUGGAUGGACCCGCGUCGCAUUAGCUAGUUGGUGAGGUAACGGCUCACCAAGGCAACGAUGAGUAGCCGAGCUGAGAGGGUGAUCGGCCACACUGGGACUGAGACACGGCCCAGACUCCGACGGGAGGCAGCAGUAGGGAAUCUUCCGCAAUGGACGAAAGUCUGACGGAGCAACGCCGCGUGAGUGAUGAAGGCUUUCGGGUCGUAAAACUCUGUUGUUAGGGAAGAACAAGUGCUAGUUGAAUAAGCUGGCACCUUGACGGUACCUAACCAGAAAGCCACGGCUAACUACGUGCCAGCAGCCGCAGUAA
rnacentral:rRNA from 1 species